GCUGUUCCAGAGGCGAGGCUGCGUGGAGCCGCUCUGCGGACCGGAGGCGGGUGCGCCUCGACUACCGUCAAAGAGAAUGGAGUUCGUAGGGAAACGGAGUUCGUGGGAAAAUGUUUAGGGAUGACCACACAGAACGGCGGUUCCAGGUCUUAUCACACUGGUUGAAGGACUUUGUAGAAAUAGAUUCCCAGGCAGCCCUGAUGAAACCAGGUGCCCGGCCCGGCCCCUUCUCUGAGCUCUCUCUCCUUAAGCUUCUUAAACAGAGGAUGGACUUUAUUAUGUUACUACUUCAUUCUUAGUGUUAAUAUUAAGGACGGAAUCUCCCCUUUUCUUAGGAAAGAAAGGCUUUGUAAUCACUGCCUUUGCUUUAAAGUCUGAAUGACUUUAGUCAUUAAGACUAAAAAGAAUACGCCAGAAUUUUUUUUUUUUUGGCCCAGAGUAAGUGGCUGAUCUUAAACGCUUAACCUCUGUUGGACUGGGUGAACUGCGGGAAGUUGUCUCCGUUGGUUCUAGAUCUCAGAAGUAAAAUCCCGCUCUCUGCUGUGGCCAUGGAGGGCAGUGGAGGGUGGCCCGGGUCCUUGAGCCCCUGCACCCAAGUGGGAGACUUGGAAGAAGCUCCUGGCUUCGGAUUCGCACAGCUCCGGCCCGUGCAGCCCUCUGGGGGAGUGAACCAGUGGAUGGAAGACCUCUCUCUCUGUUUCUACCUCUCUCUGUAACUCUUUCAGAUAAAAAUAAAUAGGCACUGUUCGGUCGGUUAGAGUCCCAGCUGAUCUACUUCCAAUCCAGCUCCCUGCUAUGGCCUGGAAAAGCAGUGAAAGGUGAUCCAAGUUACCCAAUCUAGUCUUGUUUACAGUCAAGAUGUGUACCAAGGAAUGACGUGCACUUCUUCACAAAGGUUGUAAUCAUGCCAAACUGAGUUUCCUCCUACUGCUUGUACAUAUCCAUUGUCUUGGCACCCUGGCUCUGCAGUUCUCCGGUCGGUUCUGUAUAUUUCUAUACCUCCUGACUGACAACACAAAGGCACAACUGGAUGCCAUGGAGGAAGUGAACCAGAAUUCUCUAAUUCUCAAAGACGACAUACUGCAUUUUGAAAGUGCUGAUAAGUACAUUAGCUCACUGACCUUCACAGUGACCCUGUGAGACAGAUAGGAUUGGGAAACCCCAUUUUACUGAUUUGUCUUCAAAAUGUUUAAACAACUUGGCUUAAGUCAUACAAAUCGUUGUCCCUAAAUACAAAGGGAAAGGCACUUCAUUGGGUUUAAAUUCUAGCUGGCCUGGGGCCAGCGCCCGUGGAACAGCACCCUGGCCUGAAGCACCAGCCUGAAGCACCUGCAUCCCAUGUGGGCCUCAGUCCGAGACCCGGCUGCUCCACUUCCUGUCCAGUUCUCUGCUAUGGCUUGGGAAAGCAGUAGAAGAUGGCCCAAGUCCUUGGGUCCUUGCACCCAUGUGGGAGACCGGGAAGAGGCUCCUGGCUCCUGGCUUUGGAUCGAUUGGCGGCUCUGGCUGUUGCAAGUGAACCAUCAGAUGAAAGACCUCUCUCUCUCUCUCUCU